rnacentral:rRNA from 1 species
AACGAACGCUGGCGGCAUGCUUAACACAUGCAAGUCGAACGGACAAGAGGGAGCUUGCUCCUUCAAGUUAGUGGCAGACGGGUGAGUAAUGCAUGGGAAUCUGCCUUGAGGUGGGGAAUAACCCUGGGAAACCAGAGCUAAUACCGCAUAAUAUGCGCAAGCAUCAAAGAUUUAUCGCCUUAAGAGGAGCCCAUGUCAGAUUAGGUAGUUGGUGGGGUAAAGGCCUACCAAGCCUGUGAUCUGUAGCUGGUCUGAGAGGAUGAUCAGCCACACUGGGACUUAGACACGGCCCAGACUCCUACGGGAGGCAGCAGUGGGGAAUAUUGGACAAUGGGGGAAACCCUGAUCCAGCAAUGCCGCGUGAGUGAAGAAGGCCUUUGGGUUGUAAAGCUCUUUCGCCUGUGACGAUAAUGACGGUAGCAGGUAAAGAAGCCCCGGCUAACUCCG